rnacentral:rRNA from 1 species
GAUGAACGCUGGCGGCGUGCCUAAUACAUGCAAGUCGAGCGAACAGACGAGGAUCUUGCUCCUCUGACGUUAGCGGCGGACGGGUGAGUAACACGUGUAUAACCUACCUAUAAUACUGGGAUAACUUCGGGAAACCGGAGCUAAUACCGGAUAAUAUAUUGAACCGCAUGGUUCAAUAGUGAAAGACGGUUUUGCUGUCACUUAUAGAUGGAUCCUCGCCGCAUUAGCUAGUUGGUAAGGUAACGGCUUACCAAGGCGACGAUGCGUAGCCGACGUGAGAGGGAGAGCGGCAAAACGGGAAGAGAAAAAGGGAAAAGAGAAAGAAGGGAGGAAGAAGAAGGGAAUGGGAGGCAAGGGGGGAAAGCAGGACGGAGCAAGGCGGAGGGAGAGAGAAAGGUGUAGGGAGCGAAAAAAUGUGUAAUGAGGGAAAAAAAAAGGUGAAAGAAAAAAGGAAGGGAGGGACGGGAACAAAUAAGAAAGCAACGGCUAACUACGGG